ACCUACGGGGGGCAGCAGUGGGGAAUAUUGGACAAUGGGGGAAACCCUGAUCCCGCGACGCCGCGUGAGUGAAGAAGUAUUUCGGUAUGUAAAGCUCUAUCAGCAGGGAAGAGAAUGACGGUACCUGACUAAGAAGCCCCGGCUAACUACGUGCCAGCAGCCGCGGUAAUACGUAGGGGGCAAGCGUUAUCCGGGUUUACUGGGUGUAAAGGGAGCGUAGACGGCUGGCCAAGUCUGAAGUGAAAGCCCGGGGCUUAACCCCGGGACGGCUUUGGAAACUGGCCGGCUGGAG
rnacentral:rRNA from 1 species